rnacentral:lncRNA from 1 species
GCCUUCUAACAUCUCUCACACUGUGUCACAGCACCUCAAACUCAAAAAGUACAAAAUGUGCCUUCAUUUCCAAACAUGUACUUCUACUUGAAUUUUCUACUUCAAUAAUGCUAUUACCAACUUCCCAGUCACUCUAUCAAAAAAUAUUGGUCAUUGAUUCUCAUGAGGAAGAAAGUAUGGUCCCCAUUUUCUAGAUGGAGAGACCAACAAUAACACAUUGGAUCACAGAGACGGUAACAUCAGAAGUGGGCAUCACACCAAGAUCAGGGCUCCUUCUACAAUGUUUUGA